rnacentral:rRNA from 1 species
UACGUAGGGUGCAAGCGUUGUUCGGAAUUAUUGGGCGUAAAGAGCUCGUAGGCGGUUUGUCACGUCGGAUGUGAAAAUCCGGGGCUUAACCCCGGACCUGCAUUCGAUACGGGCUGACUAGAGUUCGGCAGGGGAGACUGGAAUUCCUGGUGUAGCGGUGAAAUGCGCAGAUAUCAGGAGGAACACCGGUGGCGAAGGCGGGUCUCUGGGCCGAUACUGACGCUGAGGAGCGAAAGCGUGGGGAGCGAACAGG